rnacentral:misc_RNA from 1 species
ACAGACAUCACAACGUAAUUCGUCAUUCAAAAUCCUUUAAUUUGAUGGGUCAUACAUUGAUUUCUGAUUAUCCGUUCCAAAGAUACAAAUAUUUGUACAAAAUUAUGAAAAAUCGAAUAAUUUGAAAUAUUUACAAAAAUAUUUUAAGUUGUUUGUUAACAUGCCGGGUGUGUAUGGUUGAUAAGAAAAGAGUGCAGACGUUAUUUUUGUUAAUAUUAACCUCCAAAGAUAUGACAAGCCACAAUGCUAAAAGUCCGGAUGUAGUCGGAUGAGAACAUGUAACCGCAGUUGUUAUUUGUGUAAAUGUUAUCACAUAUUUUUAAAACUAUAAGGUCUUGUUUUUGCAAAACACAUUCAAACAUUUGAUCACGUUCAUGCUGUGUGAAUUUCGCCUAUAAAUACUGAAACAGACGAGCAUAUACCACAGUCGACAUCUGACAGUUUCUACAGUAUAGUUGCAGUGUUCAGUGGAAAAUAUUCAAUUAAGAUAUUCCUAGCGUUCAGACGUGUGCUCUGUGGAUGCUUUUUCCUCUGCGAUACAACCGAUCGUCUGUCACACUGAAAAGUGGGUUACUAAAAAGUUGUAGUGAGUUGUCGUUUGUCCUACAUGAUUAAAAAAUCUUUAAAAGAUGUUCAGUUAAGACCAUUAAAAGAUAUCUGAUAUAGCCCACUGGCAAAUUAAUGAGCCGUUCUGGUUAACUCUAGAACCGUUGCUCGUGUAGCCUCCAAGUUAAGACAAUCGAUAACUUAAUGGUCUUCUUUUUCCCCGAUUUAGUUUUAAGUCUUCGAUAGCCUGUCACAAAACAGGAGUCGGAAAAAUACCUAGUUUUAAGAUUAGAUAACCUAGAGUUAUCGCAUUUACCCUCAAUAAUUCAUUCUCAUUACUAUAGUAACGAAUGAAUUAGUACCAAAGUUUCGAUGUUUUAACAUUAAUAUGAAUAAAAGAUGGCAAUCAGAUCAUAAAAAGAUGUCUGCUGAACCAUUUCCUGUAUGUUUAAAAAAGAUGUUCAGUUAAGGUCACUAAAAGAUAUUCGUUAUAAAAAUCGUACUAUAAAUAAUGUUAAUAAAAAGAUACCUGCUGAACCAUUUCCGGUAUUUUUAAAAUACAAUAAACAGUUUUCGGCUAUGGACAAAUUUGUGAUUUUGUAACAUCAUUACAUCUUUGCUCGUUACUUACUAGAAGGUGGGGCAACAAUCGCUUGUUCUAUGCUAUCACAAAUAUAUAUAUUGCAUCAACAUCACAUUUGAUUCCUCUGAGGAAAUUUGGUGGUUGUAGGCCUCUAGGGGAUGGUGUCCACGAUAAAACACCAACGAGGUAUGUGUUGUACCUCAUGGGUGCCUUGGAAAUCAACACGAGUAACCUUUGUUUCAGAUUAUCCUUGAAAAAAAAAAAUCAGCACGAGCUAUGUUAGCUUUAACUUGAAGACCUUUACGAUAUGCUUUUUCUUUACGACAAUACUGUUAGAUAUGUCUUUAUACAUUAACAAAAGUUUUUUUUUCUACCUAGGUAUACUCUAAGUGUAUAUAAUUUUUUUCUCAAUAUAUCUGAUACAUAAUACCUUUAAAUAUGGUCCUCCUUUUGGAGUAUAAAAAGGACGGUCGACUUUUAACCCGCACGGAUGCACGCCUAUGUACCUUUACGAAGGGAAUUGUACAUAAACCUAUAAGCUGAUCGUAAUCCAUAUCUGCAAAGUAUGUUGUCAGCUUGGGUUAGUAUAUACAGUGCAUUCCGUAUGUUUUAUAAACAUGAUCAGGGGAAAUUGUUGCCUGAUGGCUAUUAAAGAACCGUCUAUGGCCCUCAUAUAUUCUUAUCACAGAUCUUUAAUAUCAAACUGUAAAAUUCAUAUUACCCGGCUUGCCGUAGAUAAAAUACAGUAUGCAACUAUUCAGUAAAUUACAUAAAAAUAAUACGCAUUUUUUUCUGAAAAGACUUGUACAUGAGAUGUUUGCUGGUUUGGCCACAGCGUAUGAAUGGUAUAUGUUCAUUGUAGGAAUGUAUGAUUGGAGAGAGAUCUAGGAUGUUUGCUGGUCAUACUGUAAGAAUGGUAUAUGUUCAUUGUAGGAAUGUAUGAUUGAAACGAAGAUACGAUAUAGUGCCGUUUUGGCAAUGUCUUAUUCACGUCACGUCAUUCACGUUACGUCAUUCACGGUAAAAUAUCACGUUAAAGAGGUACACUGUUAGGAUGGUUUAAAGAUAAAUAGUCUAUACCAUUAGGGAAUAGAGUGUAGCAGAGACCAUUAGAGGCCAUUAGAAACCAUCAGGUCACGUUAUUUACGUCGCGUGAUUCACGUGACGUUAUGCACGUCACGUUCUGUUAGGCACUGUCACGUUCUGUUAGGCACUAUACGGAAAAGAAGAAGAAGAAUUGGCAAUUAAUAUUGAACGUUGACAGAAGAAGAAUUGACAGUUGCCAUCUGUGUCGCCACCGCUUUCAUUUGAUAUCCCAUACGUCAAAAUCGGAUCAUUAGCCAAGAAGAUAUGUUGUAAUGCCGUUUUGGCAAUGUCAAUUAGUUACGUGUUGCAGCCGACAGGUGGCAUGAUAAGAUGAAGAACUGUGAUAGGAUGUUUGAUGGUCGUACUGUAAGAAUGGUAUACGUUCUUCUAGAGGGCUUGGGCAUAGUUACAUGUUGCAGCCGACAGGUGGCAUGAUAAGAUGAAGAACUGUGAUAGGACUAAUAUAUCACCGUUUUGGCAGUGUUGCCAUGUUUCUCCUUCCCUUCGAUGUCUGUUGCGCUAAAAUUAAUAGCAACGAAGAUAUAGUGUCGUUUUGGCAUUGCUGACAUCUUUGUUUUUAUGUUAACAUAUUCAAUAUCCCCUCUUUUUCCCAACGAGACCAUAUUCACACGAAUUGGACCAAUAGACACGAAGAUAUGAUAUAGUGCCGUUUUGUCAUUGCUGACAUCUUUGUUUAUAUGGUAACAUGCCUUCCUCUUUCCAACAAUAUAUGAUCAGUCAGGUCGGAGACAUGCUCUAAUGCUCUUUUGCUAAUGUCUUUGUGAUUGCUCCUCUUUCGUUUAAUGUCUUACAUGUAAUAAACGAACCAAUAACAACGCAGAUGGCAGAUAGGUGCUUCAUGGAUAAGUGUCUUAUUUGGCUUUCUGACUACACCCUGUAUAUUUUGCGAUAAACGAAAUAAAGAGGAGGCCAUCUUGGAAGGCGAGGGUUUGUGACGUAGGUGGGCCUGGCUGUGUUCCCAUUGGUCGGUGCCUGAUCAUUGGUCGGUGAUUGGGGCUAAGUUCUCAUUGGUCGCUGGGCUGGACUUUGAUCUCAUUGGUCUAUGGGCGAUGCUGUGGGUGGGCGAGGCUUCCUUCUCAUUGGUCGGUGGGCGGGGCUAAUUGCUCAUUGGCCCGGCGGGCGUGGCUUUGUGGUGGGCGUGGCGU